rnacentral:rRNA from 1 species
UACGUAGGGUGCGAGCGUUGCCCGGAAUUAUUGGGCGUAAAGAGCUCGUAGGCGGUUUGUCACGUCUGCUGUGAAAUCCCGAGGCUCAACCUCGGGCCUGCAGUGGGUACGGGCAGACUGGAGUGCGGUAGGGGAGAAUGGAAUUCCUGGUGUAGCGGCGGAAUGCGCAGAUAUCAGGAGGAACACCGAUGGCGAAGGCAGUUCUCUGGGCCGUAACUGACGCUGAGGAGCGAAAGCGUGGGGAGCGAACAGG